AAAAAGACGGUCUAGUGUGAACAUCUCCUACCGCCACUUAAAAAAAACAUGCAAAAAGCAAAGAAAAACUUACAGCAGUUGCAUGUAGGACUUUCGCCGUCUUUUUCAAUGAUGUUACCCGCGAGCAAGCCUUCGAUGUCGGGGUCUUUAGUAAAAAAAAAAAAAGAUCUCCUCUUCUUCCACUGCGAGCGACCCUUCAAUGUCAAAACACUUUGGCUGGAAGUCCAUUAAAGACGAAUGCUCCUUCAAGACCAACCAGCAUGCCAGAGGCAUAAAAAUCUGGGAGGUCCUUUUGUACUCCGUCGGGGGUGUGGUCUCAAAGGACAACCUUCUUUUCGUUGCCAGUAUGCAUUUCCAAUUCCGGCUGCUUCGAGACAAGACGUCUAUCCACUUCUCCCGCAAAGACUCGGUUGGAGGAAUUUGAGUGCGAUUCAGAAAAAUCCUAGUUUUCCGAGGAGCGUCGUGCAGCGUCCGAGACCAUGAGAGGAGAGGGAGAACACAGAGAGGAAGAACACACUCGCUCCACACUCGCUCCACGCACGAGCCAGACGGUACUGGCCAAAAAGACGACGAACAAUUGCUCCGAAUAAAAUACUUUUUCAAACCUG